UACGUAGGGACCGAGCGUUGUCCGGAAUCAUUGGGCGUAAAGAGCGUGUAGGCGGCCAAGUAGGUCCGGUGUGAAAACUCGAGGCUUAACCUCGAGAUGUCGGCGGAAACCAUCUGGCUAGAGUCCGGAAGAGGAGAGUGGAAUUCCUGGUGUAGCGGUGAAAUGCGCAGAUAUCAGGAAGAACACCCGUGGCGAAGGCGGCUCUCUGGGACGGUACUGACGCUGAGACGCGAAAGCGUGGGGAGCGAACAGG
rnacentral:rRNA from 1 species